UAGCAGGCAUCCUGCAGCUCAGUGGU
rnacentral:piRNA from 1 species